rnacentral:rRNA from 1 species
UAGGGAAUAUUGGACAAUGGGCGAAAGCCUGAUCCAGCAAUGCCGCGUGAGUGAGGAAGGCCUUAGGGUUGUAAAGCUCUUUCGGCGAGGACGAUGAUGACGGUACCCGCAGAAGAAGCCCCGGCUAACUUCGUGCCAGCAGCCGCGGUAAUACGAAGGGGGCAAGCGUUGUUCGGAAUUACUGGGCGUAAAGGGCGCGUAGGCGGCGAUCUUUGUCAGGUGUGAAAGCCCCAGGCUCAACCUGGGAAUUGCACUUGGGACGGGAUUGCUUGAGUUCGGGAGAGGAGAGUGGAAUUCCCAGUGUAGAGGUGAAAUUCGUAGAUAUUGGGAAGAACACCGGUGGCGAAGGCGGCUCUCUGGACCGAUACUGACGCUGAGGCGCGAAAGCGUGGGGAGCAAACAGGAUUAGAUACCCUGGUAGUCCACGCCGUAAACGAUGUGUGCUAGACGUUGGGGAGCCUAGCUCUUCGGUGUCGCAGCUAACGCGGUAAGCACACCGCCUGGGGAGUACGGCCGCAAGGUUAA